rnacentral:rRNA from 1 species
UACAGAGGUGGCAAGCGUUGUUCGGAAUUACUGGGCGUAAAGGGCGCGUAGGCGGCCAUCUAAGUCAGACGUGAAAUCCCACGGCUCAACCGUGGAAGUGCAUUCGAAACUGCGAGGCUGGAGUCCUGGAGAGGAAAGUGGAAUACUCGGUGUAGAGGUGAAAUUCGUAGAUAUCGAGUGGAACACCGGUGGCGAAGGCGGCUUUCUGGACAGGUACUGACGCUGAGACGCGAAAGCGUGGGGAGCAAACAGG